UUGUGUUUCACCCACAUGCAUUUGAUCUUUCAGUGUUUUAGGGUUAGUGAACUGAACUGAAGAGCUUUAUAGAGGAUCAUUGGAAAUGGCUCAACUGCAAUUUUACAUGCAUGAUGAUUAGCUGCCUACAAUAUACCAAAGAUAUGCAGAUGUACUGGAUCAACCAUCUAAGACAUUUUGUUGGUAUUCCUAGUUUCUUAGCAAACACUGUAGAUAACACCCUCCUUUUCUUUUCUCCUUGUAUGAAGAUGGGGACGUCAUCAAUUUCUUCAGGAUGAAUUCUGUUAAGCUAUUGUAUUGGGUCAUUCUUGAAACUAAUAUUUUCGUUCUUAUUUCUUCACAUGUUCCUUGAUUUGUUUUUCAUUCUUAAUGCUAUGACUCAUUUAUGUUAAUGUGAA